CUCUAGUGAUGAAACAGUAUGCAACUUACAUGAAAAAUCACUGUUAUAACUGAUGUUGUCACUUCUCCGUGGUACUAACUGCAUUGGCAAGGUCUGCACUACCUGUAGAAUAGGCAUGGGCUCUGUUACUUCACUCUUUGCUACUGAAGCAUGUUGUGACUGUGGAAAUGUCCAUACACAGAAGUUUGCACAGGACUGUGCCCCAUGGCCCAUCCUCUCCUCCUAGAUAGGCUCUGUAUUCAUACAACAGGGUAGCUUGAUGUGAUGCAGGGUGAUGAAGGCCUGCCUAUUCCUCCAUCCUACUUUCUCCACUGCCACCUGUGAUAGGGAGCACAAAAAUUGAGGUCCUCUUCUCAAUGUAGUAUUAACAGCAAAAAGCUUGUAGGAGAGGGUGUGAAAUAAGAUAUGAGGGCUAUGCACCACCACCUUCUACAACAGAAACAGCUCUAUAGGCAGUUUCUUAGAACAUACCAGCUGUGAGCAAUUAUGUGUUAAGAAACACAUUUGAGUAAAUACAAAUCAUUUGCAGCAGAGACUAAUCAGCAGUCACUGUGGAGUCGUUCAAACAGCUACCUGAACCAAUGGAAAAGGUGCAAAGAAUGGAGAAGUCAGCUUUGUAGUGCUGCCCCAUCCCUACAUUUGUCACUGAAAAGUACACCAGGUUUAGAAACUGAAAAACUAAAAAAAAUUACUUUCCUUCAUUGAUACAGUAUUUUACUACACAAGCAACUAUGCAAGCUGUUCUUUAGCAUGAUACUGGAUGGUAUAAUUAUAAAAAGUGCUGUUAUUGUUAGAUAGAAAAUGAUUCUGGUAAGUAUAGAUUUUAAGGCAUUAGAAAACAAUAGGGUAGGUGGGUUUGAUAUUGGCUAUCUGUGGAUGCAUAAAUAAAUAACGAGACUCAAGAUAGUUCUCUAUUUCCCAUUAUGUAAAAGAAAAUAAAUUUCAGUUUUAGAAAUGUAAUUAAACUACAGGGAGUGUUGCUGUUUUCAGAUGAGAUUCUCAUUUCACUGUCUUGGUACAACCACCUCUUCAGGAUGUAAACUAACAGGUAUUUGAGGAUGUAAAUGAGAGAGUACGUCUGGGGCCAACCUUAGGGACAUCUCCUGGCAUCUGCUACCUACUUUUGCACAACUUACAAAAGGACAAUCUAUGGCUCAGAGCCUUGCUUCUGCACAAAAUGCCACCAUACCUCAAGGUUGGGGUUUUUUUCAAGCAAGUUAAAAUUACAAAAUGGAAGAGUCUAAUGUGGCUGCACACGGUACCAUGUCCUGUGGAUCUCCCCAAGAGUCACAUUGCCACAGCCAUUCUGACAUCCUGAAAUGGCUGGCACCUGGCUUUGCAGGGAAAAUCUGCAAGCAAAGAGAAAGCAAGCUAUAGAUAAACCUGUUACUAAACCUGUGGGUGCUUACCUUCUCUAGGAUUUCUGUUUUGAACUUGAACAAGACAGGGAAGCAUGUGGUGUUGUCAAGGACUUGUAGUGCUGUUGCAGUAGCAUUUUAACUAGUUGGUUUUGUAUUUUUAUGAAUAUAGAAAAUUGAGCGUUCAAGUACCUCAUUAGUGAAUAGCUAUUUCAGUGAGGCAGCUGGGCCAGGGAAGAACAAAAGAUACUUGGAUCUUUUUAUAAAUUCCUUUUCGCAUCUUUCCAGAAAGCAGAAAGUGGAGGGCAAACAGCAAGGGCCUCUGAGCGAAAUACAAAGUUGUGCACACAGGCAAGGUCUAAACGAGUUCCUUUCCCACCAGGUUAAAAUAAAACUAUAGACGUCUGUCACUGUGCUGAGUUUCAGUUUAAUCCAGUUAAAAACUAAUCUAUACAAAGUACAGAGUGGACUUCUUUUUUUUUUUUUCUUACAUAUAUUGCACUGGAGGAUAUGAAUUUGUACAACACUGACCAAAUCUUACCCCUUCAUCCUCCUACCAAAAUCCCAGCCAAAUGCAAAACCAAAUCUCUGCAUCUUUGUCUUGAAACCGGUCUCUCUGUGGAGUUACAUUCAGUUUUCGCAUAAUCACCUCCCAAAUGAAAAGCAGAGAAAAGCAGAGUACAGGUGAAAGUAAUGGUGCCCACGAUAUUCCAGUCCUUUAUCUACCUAUGAUUAUAGCUUUCUACUUUCUCACUUAGCUGUAAGCUUAAUUUUUUUCCCAUCCUUAAAAAGCUCCUGAGAAACCAGUACUGUGGCAGAAACAUGCUACUAGUGGCUACUACUUCUAGUCUCUUUUAUGGAUGAGAGAACCAAAUU